AAUUUGCAAUAAGUUUUUGUACUUCCAUUUUAUGUUGAAAUUAUCAAAACAAAUUAGUCAUAAAUUAAGUUAAAAUUGUUAACGGCGCGUUUAAGUGUUAUAGCCGAUAUAUAAAAGUGUAUUUUCUGCAAUAAUGUACAUAGUUUAAAAUUUAUUCUCCACAUGUCGUCGACAUAUAUACGUGCUUAAGUUGAGUGUUAAGCAGUGACGUAAAAAAACAAAAAAAAACAUACAUCUAAACCAAAGUACAUCACA